UUGGAGGGCAAGUCUGGUGCCAGCAGCCGCGGUAAUUCCAGCUCCAAUAGCGUAUAUUAAAGUUGUUGCAGUUAAAAAGCUCGUAGUUGAAUUUCGGGAUUAGUACGCUGGUCGUGCCUUCGGUACGUACUGGUGUUACUGAUUUCUACCUUCUGACGAACCAUCAUGUCAUUAAUUUGGUGUAGUGGGGAAUCAGGACUGUUACUUUGAAAAAAUUAGAGUGUUUAAAGCAGGCUCGCGCUUGAAUACAUUAGCAUGGAAUAAUGAAAUAGGACGUUGAUCCUAUUUUGUUGGUUUCUAGGAUUGACGUAAUGAUUAAUGGGGAUAGUUGGGGGCAUUAGUAUUCAAUUGUCAGAGGUGAAAUUCUUGGAUUUAUUGAAGACUAACUACUGCGAAAGCAUUUGCCAAGGAUGUUUUCAUUAAUCAAGAACGAAAGUUAGGGGAUCGAAGACGAUCAGAUACCGUCGUAGUCUUAACCAUAAACUAUGCCGACUAGGGAUCGGAUGAUGUUAUUUUUAAUGACUCAUUCGGCGCCUUACGGGAAAC
rnacentral:rRNA from 1 species